CCUGUCUCCCCUACUCACACCCAGCUGGGUAACUAUUCCUGGCAACCUGAGCAGGAGAGCUAAAAGAGUGAAGAAUAUUGCAUUGAUGGCACAGAAUAUCUGCUCUAAGGAGAGUGUGGAUGGACAGGCCACACAUAGCUGUCGCUCCUUUGAUUUGUACAGAAUGUGAAACGCAUGGAGGCUUAUUAAAAUUGGGAACACCAGAAACAGCUACAAGAAUCUGCGUGGAAAAUGAAGUGAUCUGCUGGCCAAUGUCUAAACGUAUGUUUAAGUUGAGAUUCUGCUCACUGGAUAAUUCUUUCAAUGACAGUCCUGUU
rnacentral:lncRNA from 1 species